UGUAGCUUCGCAUGAAGUAGCAAUUAAAGGAGCAAUCCGCUAUAAGAUGGGCCCGCGGCGCAUUAGCUAGUUGGUGAGGUAACGGCUCACCAAGGCGACGAUGCGUAGCCGACCUGAGAGGGUGAUCGGCCACAUUGGGACUGAGACACGGCCCAGACUCCUACGGGAGGCAGCAGUGGGGAAUAUUGCACAAUGGGGGAAACCCUGAUGCAGCAACGCCGCGUGAGUGAUGACGGCCUUCGGGUUGUAAAGCUCUGUCUUUGGGGACGAUAAUGACGGUACCCAAGGAGGAAGCCCCGGCUAACUACGUGCCAGCAGCCGCGGUAAUACGUAGGGGGCAAGCGUUAUCCGGAAUUACUGGGUGUAAAGGGAGAGUAGGCGGCAUGGUAAGCAAUAUGUGAAAGCCUCGGGCUUAACCUGAGGAUUGCAUAAUGAACUAUCAAGCUAGAGUACAGGAGAGGAAAGCGGAAUUCCUAGUGUAGCGGUGAAAUGCGUAGAUAUUAGGAAGAACACCAGUGGCGAAGGCGGCUUUCUGGACUGAAACUGACGCUGAGGCUCGAAAGCGUGGGGAGCGAACAGGAUUAGAUACCCUGGUAGUCCACGCCGUAAACGAUGAGUGCUAGGUGUCGGGGAGGA
rnacentral:rRNA from 1 species